rnacentral:rRNA from 1 species
GACGAACGCUGGCGGCGUGCUUAACACAUGCAAGUCGAGCGGUAAGGCCCUUUCGGGGGUACACGAGCGGCGAACGGGUGAGUAACACGUGGGUGACCUGCCCUCAGCUCUGGGAUAAGCCUGGGAAACCGGGUCUAAUACUGGAUAUGACUCCAUGACGCAUGUUGUGGGGUGGAAAGCCUUGUGCGGCUGAGGAUGGGCCCGCGGCCUAUCAGCUUGUUGGUGGGGUNANGGCCUACCAAGGCGACGACGGGUAGCCGGCCUGAGAGGGCGGCCGGCCACACUGGGACUGAGACACGGCCCAGACUCCUACGGGAGGCAGCAGUGGGGAAUCUUGCGCAAUGGGCGAAAGCCUGACGCAGCGACGCCGCGUGAGGAUGACGCCU